AGAGUUUGAUCCUGGCUCAGAAUGAACGCUGGCGGCGUGCCUAACACAUGCAAGUCGAACGAGAAAGCUCUUCGGGGUGAGUAAAGUGGCGAACGGGUGAGUAACACGUGAGAAUCUACCCUUUAGUGAAGAAUACCUCCCAGAAAUGGGGAUUAAUACUGCAUACGUCCUAUUGAAGAGAUUUGAUGGGAGAAAGACGG
rnacentral:rRNA from 1 species